UACGUAGGGUGCGAGCGUUACUCGGAAUUACUGGGCGUAAAGCGUGCGUAGGCGGUCCGCGAAGUCUGAUGUGAAAGCCCCGGGCUCAACCUGGGAACUGCAUUGGAAACUAACGGGCUCGAGUGUGGCAGAGGGGGGUGGAAUUCCACGUGUAGCAGUGAAAUGCGUAGAGAUGUGGAGGAACACCGAUGGCGAAGGCAGCCCCCUGGGCUAACACUGACGCUCAGGCACGAAAGCGUGGGGAGCAAACAGG
rnacentral:rRNA from 1 species